AAGGGACGGUCUCUACAGCCUAUACAUGCACACCUCGCCAAGAAAUCGAACAGCAGGUAUGUUAUGGUGUCAUAGAUCUAUCUCCUCUCUCUCUCUCUUCUCUCUCUCUCUCAUAUCUCACGAAAUAGUCCUAAUUCAAUUGGACUAAUUGGACUUUCUUAAUCCUACUGGGAGGCUGUUUAACCCAACAGAAACGAUCAGGUCAAGCAUUUUUUUUCAUAACCUUUUAGGCUUUGUUUGGAUGAGAAUUUGUUGAGGAAAAAAGAAAUGAAAAUUAAAAAAAUAGAUAAUUUAAUAGUUUAAAAUGACUGGACCGUAUAACUUUUUUAUUUCCAUCUCUUUUGAUAAAUGCGAAUUUCAAAUGAAUGAAUUUUACAUUGAAUAAGAAUGGGAAUAGCUUACAUUUAGAAUUGGUAGCAUGCGGAUGGAAUUUGACAUUGAAUUUUGCAACUUUAUUACGAUAUAUUUGAAAUGAUUAAUUAACAAAAAUAAUUUGAUAUGCGGAAUAGUAAAAACAUAUGGAUUACAUCUCUUCGAUUUAUCAAAUGUUGUAUUUAGACAACAGUUUUAGGGAUGAAUUUGCAAAGAGAAAAGAAAAGUACCUGUCUCAUCCAUUACACCUGUUUGGGGAAGGAGAUAGUCCUUGAUUUGGGUCUCUCCUUGAUUUCUUCUCCCUCUAAGCCAACUUCUCAAUUGUUUGGCAUAAUCUUUCUCUUCACAUACUUUUCUCAGCUCGCCUUCCAAAAUCAACACAGCCGGAUAUGCCACGCGACAGGGGUGGGACACCCGUCCGUGGUCACGCGAUGGUCCGCGUGGUCGUGGAAAAGACCGUCUGUGCCCUUGGUCCCUUUUUGCUGGCCAUGGCCCAUGGCCAAGCUUCGGUGAUUCCGACACCAGCUUAUCAUCUUCUCCGUCCGAUCGAGGAGGUCCAGAAACGGUGGGUUAAGGUACAAUGAAAGUGCAUGAAAGUCCUGUAUCCGUGAAAUCAUUGGACACAAGUGGUCGUGGCCCGACACGUUGCCGAACAUACGAGUCACAAUGCUAUUAGCUCUUGCGGAAGACUGGAUGUCUUUUUUAUCUGGUAUACUCUUCAACUAUUUGAGUUGUUUCUACUUAGUCUUAAGUUUUUAAUUUUAGGCUUAAAUCAUUCGUUAAUUACAGUGUUACCUAAUGAUACUCUUUACUUCAGUGUGAUCAAAACAACAUUUAUGCUUUUGGUCAAUUUUAAAAGUAGAUCUUAUCACCAAUUUGGUGUCAUUUUAGGUGACUGAAAUAAGCCCUAUAGCCUUCACGAAAAUAGGCUUAAUUGGUAUUUAAUUGAUCAAAAAAUAUGCCAAGAGAUCACUUAUCAGUAAUAAAUGACUAGGAAAGAAGGUUCAUUUAAUAUUUAACAUUAAAAUAUAACGGAUUGGCUGCAAUAAUUAAAAUGAAUAGUAUUAAAAUGAGAGUAAUAGUAAAAGUACAGGUGUUUUCAAGCUUGUGUUUAAGUAAGAUUUGAAAAUUUUAAAAGUAAUAUAUUUUUACCUAAAUAUAUUAAUAGUAAUUUUGAAUAAUUUAACCAAAAAAAUAAAAUCAAAUAAAUACUGACAACAUAUUAAUUAACAACUAUAUAUUUUUAUUUUAAUCAUCUAAAUAUUAAUUAAGAUAUAUUUUAUCUAAUUAAACGAAAUUACAUGAAUAUUAACCAAUAAUUAAUGAACGUGGGGUAUUUGUCUUUUGACAUUUAUACUAUCUAUCCAACUCAAAUCCCUUUUCUCCAAAACACAUCCAAACAUCAAACUAAAGCACCCUCUUAAAAGGUGGGCCUCAAUCGUAUUUAAAUUCAUCCCUCAUUUCAAAUCCACCAUCAAUCUCCCCUCAUUCCAAAUCCACCAAAAUCAUCUACUUGUUGCCCAAACGGACUGUACGGUCCCCAACCUUAGGCUGUAUUUGGCUUAAUGAUUUACUAGGGAAAAAAGAAAUGAAAAUAAGAAAAGAUGGGCCAAUAAGAAUUAGGAUCCGAGAGAAUCCAAUAUACUCCCACUCCAAGUAAGGUAGCAACUCGGUGGAAUCACUUGGGAACAGAUUUGAUAAGGCAUCCCAGUUUGCAUUACACUGAGACUUGCCCAAAUCCUUACCAUCAAAAAGCAUUCUUGUUUGCUGUCCGGGGCAGCAUACUGCUUGCAAUUAUACAAUUUACUGCAAUAUAUUAUAAGAGCCUUAGGAAGCAAAAGACUAAACAUUUAAAAUUAGUUCAUGAACUUCACGACAGAGAAGGAACACUUUUUGAUCCUUAAGCCAAAACAGGUGCAUAUGGCUGAGAGUAACACUGAAUAUCAAAAGCAAUAGACCGAGAAUUUCUCCGGUGGUCUCUAGCUUUUUUGAUCCGUCGAAAAGAAAAUGUUAUUAAUAUAAAUAAAAAGGACACGAAAGAGAGACGGGACGAGAGAUCCACCAAAGAAAAUAUAAAACAAUAGAAAGAAAAAAAAGUAAAUUUUAUUAAUAAAAAUAAAAAAGAUACGAAUUGGAGGGCGGUAUGUGAUUCCCUUCAAUGGAGAGGAAACCAAAGACCAAAAGGAAGACAAUUGUUAACGAAUCCUUACCUCUUUGCAAGCUUGCAAUAAACCUCACAAACUAAAGUUGUUGCUCAUAUACGGAGGUAAUGCAAUCAUCAUCUUGAGUUAAGCUUGGACUAGAACCUAGGACAAAAGCUUGAUCUUGUGCCACUGGUUCUGCACUUCUGCUACCGUUUCCCUGAGCUAGUUCAAUGGUCUUCUUGUUCGAUCCAUUCACCACGCUCAUCACAUUGGAAGUUUGUGAGAUUGGGGCAAUCUACUUUUUUUUUGCCCAUAGUAAAUCAAUUUGGAAAAUAAUCGACGAGUUUCUUCCCAGUCCCAUCAUAGUGACCCAAGUACUUCAAGCGCAAUAUCUCGACUGUCCAUUGGUAAUCGUCAUUAAGUUCCAGAACUUGGCCUAGAUCACGUAAUUGUCCUCCUCUGAUGUAGAGCUUCUUCAACUCUUUCAAAUUGGCAGGUCUCAGCCAUUCGGGUGUACUCGUCCAAGGAAAACACUGAAGAUUCAGUUUUUGCAGCGUCCGAGGGAAUCUGCCCUCCUGGCUGAAAAGAUUUGCACCUUUUUCACCUUGUAAUGAGCAUCCUCCCCAAGAUAUUGUUAGCUUUCGU
rnacentral:lncRNA from 1 species